ensembl:lncRNA
UUCUGGGUGGCAGCACUUCACAGAGGGAGACGGAGCAGCAGCCUUGAGCCCCUGGCUUGUUUGGGGGGCGGGGGGCGGCGGGGGGCGGACUGACUCACUUGGACCCCUCCCCCGGGGCCGAUGGGGCAGCCCCCACACCCAUGGGCGCUGGCACCCGGUCGGGCCCCCGGGGUUUGGGGAAAGGAAGCCGCAGCCCCGCGGCGCCUGGCCCGAGCUGGCUGAGAUGCGCUCUGUGUGCGCGGACCCGCUGGCCCCCGGGCCGGGAGGCGAUGUGUAGGCUGCGACCCCCGCCCCCCCAGAGCAGGCUCGUUCCCGCGGCCGCCCGCCGGGGCCACCCUGGCCGCGGGCCCGCCGGGACGCCCCUGCUCGCCGCGCCCCUCCCCGGGCCGUGGCGCGUCCCCCGAGUCUCGCAGUAUUUCCUUCCUGCACCUUUAAGAAGACCGCUGCUCCGUGGUGGGAUGGUGUGUUAAAGCCACACAGAGGAAGUUACGCAGCCCGGAUCAGACCGGGAGAUAAAAGCCCCGAUGGUGAUCGUGAGUGAUGGCAAGAGGAUUUAGCCUCAGCAUUAACUUGGAGCGGAGUGCAGGGGGGCAGUGAAGCGCCCCGGCCAUCUGGCCCGCGCCGCGCCCCGGGGGGGGGGGAUGCCCCGGCGCCCCGACGAGCCGCCGCGAAGCCCACCCGGGCCGGGGGCUGCCCGGUGCCCGAGCGCGGGUCCUCUCAGAGCCGCCCAGGGGGCCCCAAAAGUUUGCACUUGUUAGCGGCGACCUCCGGCUCGGCCCCCGGCGGGCGAUGCAGGUGGCGCGGGCGGCCCCCUCCCCCGGCCCGCGUCUCCGGGACGGCUGCGGGCGGCCCCCCCGGCGGCCGGAGGGCUCCCCAGCCCCGAUCUGACAGCUACAGAGGCGGCGGGGGGAAGGAGCAGCGGCUCGCAGCCCUCGGCCUUCGCCCCCACCCAGCGCCAGCCAGACGGGGGAGGCAGAGCGCCGGAGGGUGGCGGCCUCCGGGGUCUCCGCUCCGGGAAGCCGCUCCGAGCCGGGGGCUUCGGUGACCGCGCAGGCUUUCCCGGGGCCCGGGAGCCACUUAACAGUAGCCCAGCCGAGGCUCGGAUGCAAAAGUUAUUGGUGGCGACUGCUACUAGCGGAGGACCGGAGUCGCUUGGAGAGGGGUGUGUGAGUGUGCGUUUGUAGCAGCAUCUUAAAGGAGUAGCUUGUCUUUCGGG